rnacentral:rRNA from 1 species
GAUAAACGCUGGCGGCGUGCCUAACACAUGCAAGUCGAACGCUCUCUCGGCAACGAGAGGGAGUGGCGGACGGGUGAGUAACACGUGGAUAACCUACCUCGAGGUGAGGAAUACCGGCGAGAAAUCGCUGACAAUGCCGCAUAAGUUUGGAAACAAACAAAGCCGUAAGGCGCCAUGAGAUGGGUCCACAGCCGAUUAGCUGGUUGGUGGGGUAAUGGCCUACCAAGGCGACGAUCGGUAGCUGGUCUGAGAGGACGAUCAGCCACACUGGGAUUGAGAACGGCCCAGACUCCUACGGGAGGCAGCAGUGAGGAAUUUUCCGCAAUGGACGCAAGUCUGACGGAGCAACGCCGUGUGCAGGACGAAGGUCUUCGGGUCGUAAAGCUCUGUGGGGGAGGGACGAACCGCCGGAGGUUAAUAGCUUCCGGCAUGACGGUACCUCCUUAGCAAGCACCGGCUAACUUCGUGCCAGCCGCCGACCGU